UACACAUGCAAGUCGAACGGUGAAAGAGAGCUUGCUCUCUGGAUCAGUGGCGAACGGGUGAAGUAACACGUGAGCAAUCUGCCCCUGACUCUGGGAUAAGCGCUGGAAACGGCGUCUAAUACCGGAUACGAGCUGCGAAGGCAUCUUCAGCAGCUGGAAAGAACUUCGGUCAGGGAUGAGCUCGCGGCCUAUCAGCUAGUUGGUGAGGUAAUGGCUCACCAAGGCGUCGACGGGUAGCCGGCCUGAGAGGGUGACCGGCCACACUGGGACUGAGACACGGCCCAGACUCCUACGGGAGGCAGCAGUGGGGAAUAUUGCACAAUGGGCGCAAGCCUGAUGCAGCAACGCCGCGUGAGGGACGACGGCCUUCGGGUUGUAAACCUCUUUUAGCAGGGAAGAAGCGAAAGUGACGGUACCUGCAGAAAAAGCGCCGGCUAACUACGUGCCAGCAGCCGCGGUAAUACGUAGGGCGCAAGCGUUAUCCGGAAUUAUUGGGCGUAAAGAGCUCGUAGGCGGUUUGUCGCGUCUGCUGUGAAAACCCGAGGCUCAACCUCGGGCCUGCAGUGGGUACGGGCAGACUAGAGUGCGGUAGGGGAGAUUGGAAUUCCUGGUGUAGCGGUGGAAUGCGCAGAUAUCAGGAGGAACACCGAUGGCGAAGGCAGAUCUCUGGGCCGUAACUGACGCUGAGGAGCGAAAGGGUGGGGAGCAAACAGGCUUAGAUACCCUGGUAGUCCACCCCGUAAACGUUGGGAACUAGUUGUGGGGUCCAUUCCACGGAUUCCGUGACGCAGCUAACGCAUUAAGUUCCCCGCCUGGGGAGUACGGCCGC
rnacentral:rRNA from 1 species